rfam:Schistosoma mansoni strain Puerto Rico chromosome 6, complete genome
AUUCAGCUGACGAGUCCCAAAUAGAACGAAACUCGCGUCCCGGAAU